AACGCACAUUGCGCCCCUUGGUAUUCCGAGGGGCAUGCCUGUUCGAGCGUCAUUUUCAACCAUCAAGCCUAGCUUGGUAUUGGGCGCCGUCCCCCCGGGACUCGCCCUAAAGUGGUCGGCGGUGGCCCCGAGCCUCAAGCGUAGUACAAUCUCCAGCUUCAGAGGUCUCGGCGGCGGCUUGCCCCUAGAACCCAUCACCUAAAGGUUGACCUCGGAUCAGGUAGGGAUACCCGCUGAACUUAA
rnacentral:misc_RNA from 1 species